GCGAUGCUUCGCCCUGCCACCUCCCUGAAUUAGUGACUACCCGGGAAUCUGGAAGAAGCUGCACCAUGGAAACCCUCUUCAAUACGAACUCAGCAAUCGUGUGUUUUUGGUGGGACGGCGUAGCUGCAACGCCGGCACCUCAAGUGGCAGUUUCUCUCAGCACCACCCAUUGAGCUCCCGCUGGUUGUCGCCUGCCCGAGUUGCUGCCGUCGCCAUCCAGCUAGAGCAAAAGCCCGCGUCUUCCUCAA